CUUGGACUGUCAAGUCUUGUUUCACUUUUGAUCCCAAAAUUGCUGCUACUGUGUUAGACAAUGGCCAACAAGGUUUCCAAUUUCUCGGAUCUGAUCCAACGUGUCACUGCUUCUUGCUUGCUCCACCCACUUUCCUCCAACGGCCACAUCUCUGGUGCUCGUGACGCCGACGAAUCUGAAGAUGACAAGUACACUACCGAAGAAGAAGAAGAAGAACACUCACCUUAUGUGGAAACUCUGGAAAAAUUCCAGAAUUUCGAGGUAAAAAAUGAGGAGAUAAGAACUGAGAAAGUAAAUGAAAUGGAAAUGCUUUUAGGGGAAGUGUUUGAUGCAGUGUCGGCAAUGAAGAAGGCUUACGUUAGUCUACAGGAGGCGCAUUGUCCUUGGGAUCAGGAUAAAAUGCGCGUGGCUGACGUGGCUGUGAUAUCUGAACUGCGAAGGCUUGGAGUGUUGAGGGAAAGAUUCCGGCGGAAUGUCGGCGGUGGAAGUGAAAGAGGGGACUGGAGAGUCGGGGUGGCGACGCUGAGAGAAGUGGUGGCGCCGUAUGAGUCAGCCGUGGAAGAACUGAAGCAAGAGGUGAAGGCAAAGGAUAUUGAGAUCGAUGAUUUGAAGGAAAAGCUAAAAACGGCGACGUUGCUUAGCAGCAAUAGUGGAAAGAAAAACAAGUCAAAACGGAGAGUUAACUGCAGCAGUCAAGCUCCAGUUAAUAUGUCGCCGGCACCUGACCUGUUCGAAUCUACAGUGAGCUCAGUAAAAGAAGCCUCAAAAUCCUUCACGAGUAUGCUCCUCUCUUUGAUGCGCUCUGCUCACUGGGACAUUGCGGCGGCAGUGAGAUCCAUUGAAGCUGCUUCAUCUAACUCCACCACACCAACGGCGGAUUCAAUUGUCGGAGCCAACCAUGCAAAAUACGCACUGGAAUCUUAUGUGAACCGCAAAAUGUUCCAAGGAUUCGAUCACGAGACGUUCUACAUGGACGGAAGCUUGUCAUCACUCCUCCACCCAGACCAGCACCGCCGGGAGUGUUAUACACAGUACAGGGACAUGAAAGCCAUGGACCCAAUGGAACUUCUGGGAAUUCUCCCAACUUGUAGUUUUGGGAACUUCUGUUUCAAGAAGUAUUUGGCCAUCGUGCAUCCUAAAAUGGAGGAGUCUUUGUUUGGUGAUUUGGAGCAGAGGCGUCAGGUACUGGCUGGGAACCAUCCGAGGAGUCAGUUUUACGGAGAGUUUCUUGGGCUAGCAAAGGCCGUUUGGCUGCUGCAUUUGCUGGCCUUUUCUUUGGAUCCUCCGCCAAGUCACUUUGAGACAAGCAAUGGAUCGGAGUUUCACCCCAAGUACAUGGAAAGUGUGGUGAAGUAUUCCAUUUCCAUGGGGAUAGGAGGGAGAAUGGGUAUGGGUCUAGUUGUCGGGUUUCCAGUAAGUCCCGGGUUUAAGCUUGGAAAUGGAUCAGUUGUUAAGGCUAGGGUUUAUUUAGUCCCCAAAAAUGGGUUUUAAGUUUGGGAUGGACAUAAAUUAGUCAUGCAUUACUUGCCUUGUCUAUGUAUUAGUCGUAUUAGUUGGUAUCAAAAUAAAAACUGAUAUAUUUGACUUGGGGAUCUUUUCCGUGCAAAACAAUGAUUGAAAUUAUGUCUUUUGUUUGCCCGGUAAACUUCAAAAGGUUAGUAUAAGUUUUGC
rnacentral:misc_RNA from 1 species